GCCACACUGGGACUGAGACACGGCCCAGACUCCUACGGGAGGCAGCAGUGGGGAAUAUUGCACAAUGGGCGGAAGCCUGAUGCAGCGACGCCGCGUGAGGGAUGACGGCCUUCGGGUUGUAAACCUCUUUCAGUAGGGAAGAAGCGUAAGUGACGGUACCUGCAGAAGAAGCGCCGGCUAACUACGUGCCAGCAGCCGCGGUAAUACGUAGGGCGCAAGCGUUAUCCGGAAUUAUUGGGCGUAAAGAGCUCGUAGGCGGUUUGUCGCGUCUGCCGUGAAAGUCCGGGGCUCAACUCCGGAUCUGCGGUGGGUACGGGCAGACUAGAGUGAUGUAGGGGAGACUGGAAUUCCUGGUGUAGCGGUGAAAUGCGCAGAUAUCAGGAGGAACACCGAUGGCGAAGGCAGGUCUCUGGGCAUUAACUGACGCUGAGGAGCGAAAGCAUGGGGAGCGAACAGGAUUAGAUACCCUGGUAGUCC
rnacentral:rRNA from 2 species